rnacentral:rRNA from 1 species
CAAAAACAUAGCCGGGUGUAAAUAUAUUCGGUAGCUUCUGCUCAAUGAUUCUUAAAUAGCCGCAGUACCUUGACUGUGCAAAGGUAGCAUAAUCAAUUGGCUUCUAAUUAAAGUCCGGAAUGAACGAAUGAAUGAGGGGUUAGCUUUAUAAUUGACGGAAAGUGAAAUUGCUUAUUGGGUGAAAAAACCCAAAUUUAAAUAUUAGACGAGAAGACCCUAGAAAUUUGAAUAAACAAUUUUGUUGGGGCAACAUAGUAGCAAGUUAACCUACUAAAUUACUCGAAGUAAUGCAGGUCGAUUAAAUUACUCUAGGGAUAACAGCAUAAUACGCUAGUGUUUGUGACCUCGAUGUUGGAUUAGGAAGUUGUAGUUUAGAAAAUAAUCAAAAUGCUCUGUUCGAGCA